GACGAACGCUGGCGGCGUGCUUAACACAUGCAAGUCGAGCGGUAAGGCCCUUUCGGGGGUACACGAGCGGCGAACGGGUGAGUAACACGUGGGUGACCUGCCCUCAGCUCUGGGAUAAGCCUGGGAAACCGGGUCUAAUACCGGAUAUGACUCCAUGACGCAUGUUGUGGGGUGGAAAGCCUUGUGCGGCUGAGGAUGGGCCCGCGGCCUAUCAGCUUGUUGGUGGGGUGAUGGCCUACCAAGGCGACGACGGGUAGCCGGCCUGAGGGGGCGACCGGCCACACUGGGACUGAGACACGGCCCAGACUCCUACGGGAGGCAGCAGUGGGGAAUCUUGCGCAAUGGGCGAAAGCCUGACGCAGCGACGCCGCGUGAGGGAUGACGGCCUGGUUGUAAC
rnacentral:rRNA from 1 species